UACGUAGGGUGCGAGCGUUGUCCGGAAUUAUUGGGCGUAAAGGGCGUGUAGGCGGUUUGUUAAGUCAUGUGUGAAAUCCCUCGGCUCAACCGGGGAACGACGCAUGAAACUGACAAGCUAGAGUACCAAAGAGGGGGGUGGAAUUCCCGGUGUAGCGGUGGAAAUGCGUAGAUAUCGGGAGGAACACCUGUGGCGAAGGCGACCCCCUGGUUGGAUACUGACGCUGAGACGCGAAAGCGUGGGGAGCA
rnacentral:rRNA from 1 species